CCUACGGGUGGCUGCAGUGGGGAAUAUUGGACAAUGGGCGAAAGCCUGAUCCAGCCAUGCCGCGUGUGUGAAGAAGGCCUUCGGGUUGUAAAGCACUUUCAGUGGGGAAGAAAGCCUUGGGGCUAAUACCCUCGAGGAAGGACAUCACCCACAGAAGAAGCACCGGCUAACUCCGUGCCAGCAGCCGCGGUAAUACGGAGGGUGCGAGCGUUAAUCGGAAUUACUGGGCGUAAAGCGCGCGUAGGCGGUCUGAUAAGCCGGUUGUGAAAGCCCCGGGCUCAACCUGGGAACGGCAUCCGGAACUGUCAGGCUAGAGUGCAGGAGAGGAAGGUAGAAUUCCCGGGGUAGCGGUGAAAUGCGUAGAGAUCGGGAGGAAUACCAGUGGCGAAGGCGGCCUUCUGGACUGACACUGACGCUGAGGUGCGAAAGCGUGGGUAGCAAACAGGAUUAGAUACCCCGGUAGUC
rnacentral:rRNA from 1 species